GUGGCUUYKKKGAGUUUGUAGACUUCGGUCUGCUACCUCUUACCCAUGUCUUUUGAGUACCUUCGUUUCCUCGGCGGGUCCGCCCGCCGAUUGGACAACAUUCAAACCCUUUGCAGUUGCAAUCAGCGUCUGAAAAAACAUAAUAGUUACAACUUUCAACAACGGAUCUCUUGGUUCUGGCAUCGAUGAAGAACGCAGCGAAAUGCGAUAAGUAGUGUGAAUUGCAGAAUUCAGUGAAUCAUCGAAUCUUUGAACGCACAUUGCGCCCCUUGGUAUUCCAUGGGGCAUGCCUGUUCGAGCGUCAUUUGUACCUUCAAGCUCUGCUUGGUGUUGGGUGUUUGUCUCGCCUCUGCGUGUAGACUCGCCUUAAAACAAUUGGCAGCCGGCGUAUUGAUUUCGGAGCGCAGUACAUCUCGCGCUUUGCACUCAUAACGACGACGUCCAAAAGUACAUUUUUACACUCUUGACCUCGGAUCAGGUAGGGAUACCCGCUGAACUUAAGCAUAUCAAUAAGCGGAGGAGRA
rnacentral:rRNA from 1 species